rnacentral:lncRNA from 1 species
CACCCUCACCCAGCCACUGCUCCUGGGCACAGAGCUGAAGGGGAACUGGAGGCUGCGGCGUUCCUCUCUCCGUCCCCCUCUCUCUGGUGACUCAUGUGAUAAGGAACCGACCUUUUGGAGACAUUCUGUGCCCUCAACAAAAACGGCCCCUGUCUGGAAACCCCCCCAAGGAGACUGACUUCCUCCCCUGCUGCCUGGGCUGCGGUAGCUCUUCUGGCACCUGCUCUUCCGGCACCUGCCCUGUGCUGGCCCCUCCUGCAACAAUCGGCCAGGGCUCUCGCUCCCAGCAGCCAACGGUACAGCCCGCCUCGGUCUCUGGGGUGCUAGAUACACUCUGCCUGGAGCCCAGGUACUGGAACCUCUGUGCCUGGGCCAUGGGGGGCAGGUUAAGGGAGGCCCUGCCCUGCCCCUCACCUGUCCCCUCAUCUGCACAUCCCUCCUUCGUGUCACCUGCACAGGAGCCCCCACCUCAGUCGGCGCUGCAGAACCAGCCCAGGAGAGCAGCUGGCCUGUCAUCUGCUGAGGAGCGGAGGCGUGCGGGGAUCCGGAGGGGAAGGGGGUCUGGAGUGCUCCCGGGGAGACCCUCAGGGACUGCCCUGCUGCUGGCAGCGCCUGGGCCCAGGGCUGAUGGAGGCGUCUCCUGGCCUCCAGGGCUGUGCCCAGGACUGCAAUGGCCUCCCACACUACCUCACUACCCUGGUCCAGGCUCACUGACAGAUGAGGAAACUGAGGCAGG